rnacentral:tRNA from 1 species
GCGUCGCUCCUACGGAUAGCCGCCGUGCUUCCGCCGUGCCCGGUGGGAGCGACGCAAGUCGCGAUCGUGCGGUGCGGCCGCGACGCGC